UAUCUUUGCAGCCGAGAAAAGUUCUCAUACAUAAUAAUCAUUGAAAUAAUAUUUGCAUG
rnacentral:ncRNA from 1 species